rnacentral:tRNA from 1 species
GCUCCCUUAGCUCAGCGGAUAGAGCAGCGGCCUUCUAAGCCGUUGGUCGGGGGUUCGAAUCCUCCAGGGAGCGCCA